GAUGAACGCUGGCGGCGUGCUCAACACAUGCAAGUCGAACGAGAAGCGGCGACGCACAUCCUCGGGCGGAAGACCUUAACUCGAGAGGCGGACGGGCGAUUAACGCGCGGGUAACCUGCCUCAUACCGGGGGAUAACAGACGGAAACGACUGUUAAUACCGCACAAGACCCCCGCACCGCAUGGCGCGGCGGUUAAACCUCCGCUGGCAUGAGAUGGACCCGCGCUCGAUUAGCCAGUUGGCGGGGUAACGGCCCACCACAGCGACGAUCGAUACCCGGUCUGAGAGAAUGACCGGCCACAAUGGGACUGGGACACGGCCCGAACUCCUACGGGAGGCAGCAGUGGGGAAUAUUGCACAAUGGGGGAAACCCUGAUGCAGCGACGCCGCGUGAGUGAAGAAGUAUUUCGGUAUGUAGAGCUCUAUCAGCAGGGAAGAAAAUGACGGUACCUGAGUAAGAAGCCCCGGCUAACUACGUG
rnacentral:rRNA from 1 species